rnacentral:rRNA from 1 species
GAACGCUGAAGCACCUUCGGGUGUGGAUGAGUGGCGAACGGGUGAGUAACACGUGGGUAACCUGCCCUGUACUUUGGGAUAAGCCCUGGAAACGGGGUCUAAUACCGAAUAUGACUCGCUAAGGCAUCUUGGUGGGUGGAAAGUUUCGGCGGUACAGGAUGGGCCCGCGGCCUAUCAGCUUGUUGGUGGGGUAGUGGCCUACCAAGGCGACGACGGGUAGCCGGCCUGAGAGGGUGACCGGCCACACUGGGACUGAGACACGGCCCAGACUCCUACGGGAGGCAGCAGUGGGGAAUAUUGCACAAUGGGCGGAAGCCUGAUGCAGCGACGCCGCGUGAGGGAUGACGGCCUUCGGGUUGUAAACCUCUUUCGCCAGGGACGAAGCGUAAGUGACGGUACCUGGAGAAGAAGCACCGGCUAACUACGUGCCAGCAGCCGCGGUAAUACGUAGGGUGCAAGCGUUGUCCGGAAUUAUUGGGCGUAAAGAGCUCGUAGGCGGCUUGUCGCGUCUGCUGUGAAAAUCCGGGGCUUAACUCCGGACCUGCAGUGGAUACGGGCAGGCUUGAGUUCGGUAGGGGAGACUGGAAUUCCUGGUGUAGCGGUGAAAUGCGCAGAUAUCAGGAGGAACACCGGUGGCGAAGGCGGGUCUCUGGGCCGAUACUGACGCUGAGGAGCGAAAGCGUGGGGAGCGAACAGGAUUAGAUA